UACGUAGGGUGCGAGCGUUAAUCGGAAUUACUGGGCGUAAAGCGUGCGCAGGCGGUUUUGUAAGCCAGAUGUGAAAUCCCCCGGGCUUAACCUGGGAAUGGCAUUUGGGACUGCAAGGCUGGAGUGCGGCAGAGGAGACUGGAAUUCCUGGUGUAGCAGUGAAAUGCGUAGAUAUCAGGAGGAUACCGAUGGCGAAGGCAGGUCUCUGGGCUGACACUGACGCUCAUGCGACGAAAGCGUGGGGAGCAAACAAGGUUAGAAACC
rnacentral:rRNA from 1 species